CCUACGGGGGGCAGCAGUGAGGAAUAUUGGUCAAUGGGCGGGAGCCUGAACCAGCCAAGUCGCGUGAGGGAAGACGGUCCUAUGGAUUGUAAACCUCUUUAGGCGGGGAGCAAUGCCGGGCACGUGUGCCCGGAGGGAGAGUACCCGCAGAAUAAGCAUCGGCUAACUCCGUGCCAGCAGCCGCGGUAAUACGGAGGAUGCGAGCGUUAUCCGGAAUUACUGGGUGUAAAGGGUGAGUAGGCGGCAUGGUAAGCCAGAUGUGAAAGC
rnacentral:rRNA from 1 species